GUAUGUGUUAACUUGUGGGGGUAUGAAUAAAUGGUCUUUUUGUGUUUUUGGGGUAAAUGGUUUUUCAAAUAUUUUGUUCAUAUUUAUAUUCUGGUAUCUUGGUCGAUUAACUCCUUUGCUUGUACCUGCAGAAGUAGAUUGAUAAAUGUUAUGGGUUUUAUGGAGUGUCCCAACGUCUCCUUCUAGCUCUGGAACUUUAAUGUCUU
rnacentral:lncRNA from 1 species